CGGCAGGCGGCAACGGCCCUUGGUCAUGGAGUUUGAUGAGACGGUGCAGGAGGGCCUGAGACGCAGCAAUGCGCGGUUUCUGGCGUGUAUGAAUAAGAUCUUAGACCAGUACAAUCGUGACUUCGAAGAUGAUAUCCUGGUGUCCAUCGGCACCUUGACUUACGAAACACCUGAAGGACCAAAAGGAUGGGAGAAGGUGUCUA